rnacentral:rRNA from 1 species
AUUGAACGCUGGCGGCAUGCCUUACACAUGCAAAUCGAACGGUAACGGGCCUUCGGGUGCCGACGAGUGGCGAACGGGUGAGUAAUACAUCGGAACGUGCCCGAUCGUGGGGGAUAACGAGGCGAAAGCUUUGCUAAUACCGCAUACGAUCUACGGAUGAAAGCAGGGGACCGCAAGGCCUUGCGCGGACGGAGCGGCCGAUGGCAGAUUAGGUAGUUGGUGGGAUAAAAGCCUACCAAGCCGACGAUCUGUAGCUGGUCUGAGAGGAUGAUCAGCCACACUGGGACUGAGACACGGCCCAGACUCCUACGGGAGGCAGCAGUGGGAAAUUUUGGACAAUGGGCGCAAGCCUGAUCCAGCCAUGCCGCGUGCAGGAUGAAGGCCUUCGGGUUGUAAACUGAUUUUGUACGGAACGAAAAGCCUUCUUUUAAUACAGGAGGGUCAUGACGGUACCGUAAGAAUAAGCACCGGCUAACUACGUG